AGUGAACGCUGGCGGUAGGUCUAACACAUGCAAGUCGAACGGCAGCACAGUAAGAGCUUGCUCUUACGGGUGGCGAGUGGCGGACGGGUGAGGAAUACAUCGGAAUCUAUUUUUUCGUGGGGGAUAACGUAGGGAAACUUACGCUAAUACCGCAUACGACCUACGGGUGAAAGCAGGGGUUCUUCGGACCUUGCGCGAAUGACUGAGCCGGUGUCGGAUUAGCUAGUUGGCGGGGUAAAGGCCCACCAAGGCGACGAUUCGUAGCUGGUAUGGGAGGAUGAUUAGCCACACUAGAUCUGAGACUGGUUCUUGCCUCCUGGCUGAGGCAGCUGUGGGGAAUAUUGGACAGUGCGCGGCUGCCUGAUCCAGCCAUGCCGCGUGGUGGAACAACGCCUUCGGAUCCUAGAGCCCUUUUCUUGGGAAGGAACAGCUGCGAGUUAAUAUCCGGCUCUUCUGCCGGUACCCAAUGAACAAGCUCCGGCUAACUUCGUG
rnacentral:rRNA from 1 species